AAUGUGGGGUGGUGCCCACUAGGGCCAGACAAAAUGCAGAGUUUGGGGGAGGGAGGCACAAGGGAGGUGCAAGUGAUUCAGAUCUCUGUCCUCAGUCGCCUCAUCUGCCAGAUUAGGGAGCCCCUCUUGAAUAUCUACAGGAUCCUGUCCAACUCUCCUUUCUGGCCUUCUGAUAGAUUCCACACAUUCAACCAGGGGGAGCCCCAUAGCUAAGUUUCUUUCCUCACCGGUCUGUGCUGGGGGCUACGAGGAGACCCCCUUUCCACUAUGGGCAACCAGGUGAUCUGCUGCGUGGCCCUUUGUCUCUUUGGAGCAGGCACCGUGGCUGGUGGGGUCACUCAGACCCCUAAAUACCUGCUCAAAAAGGAAGGCGGAGCUGUGACCCUGGAAUGUGAACAGGAUUUUGAUUACGACUCAAUGUACUGGUACCGACAGGACCCAGGUCUAGGACUGAGGCGGAUCUUCUUCUCGCAAUUUGUAAACACUGUUCAGAAAGAAGACAUAGCUAAAGGCUACAGCGCCUCUCGUGAAAAGAAGCCUUUCUUUCCUCUUACCGUGACAUCAGCACAGAAGAACCAGACUGGCUCUGUAUCUCUGUGCUGCUAGUAGAGACACAGCCUCUGGGCUUGGUGCGCUCGUCUCUCAGCAGCCCCGCAGGGCUGUCAGUAAGAGUGGAGCCUCUGUGACCAUCGAGUGCCGUGCAGUGGACUUUCAAGCUACAAGCAUGUGUUCUGGUACCGUCAGUUCCCGAAACGAGGCCUCGUGCUGA